rnacentral:rRNA from 1 species
AACGCGAAGAACCUUACCUAGGCUAGAAUGUGAGGGAAGAGAGGGUAACUCCGAUCGUCCGGGAAACCGGACCCAAAACAAGGUGCUGCAUGGCUGUCGUCAGCUCGUGUCGUGAGAUGUUGGGUUAAGUCCCGCAACGAGCGCAACCCUUAUUGAUAGUUGCUAACAUUAAGUUGAGAACUCUAUCAAGACUGCCGUUGAUAAAACGGAGGAAGGUGGGGAUGAUGUCAAGUCAUCAUGGCCUUUAUGCUUAGGGCUACACACGUGCUACAAUGGACGGUACAAAACGUCGCAAUCCCGCAAGGGGGAGCUAAUCGCAAAAACCGGUCUCAGUUCGGAUUGAAGUCUGCAACUCGACUUCAUGAAGCUGGAAUCGCUAGUAAUCGCGGAUCAGAACGCCGCGGUGAAUACGUUCCCGGGUCUUGUACACACCG